CAGUGGCUGGUAACUAGGUAACUGAGGUAACUGUGGUAACCAAGUUAUACAUAGGUAACAGUGGCUGGUAACUAGGUAACUGCGGUAACCAAGUUAUAUAUAGGUAACAGUGGCUG